CCUACGGGUGGCAGCAGUGGGGAAUAUUGGACAAUGGGGGGAACCCUGAUCCAGCCAUGCCGCGUGUGUGAAGAAGGCCCUCGGGUUGUAAAGCACUUUCAGUGAGGAAGAACGCCUGGUGGUUAAUACCCAUCAGGAAAGACAUCACUCACAGAAGAAGCACCGGCUAACUCCGUGCCAGCAGCCGCGGUAAUACGGAGGGUGCGAGCGUUAAUCGGAAUUACUGGGGCGUAAAGCGCGCGUAGGUGGCUUGAUAAGCCGGUUGUGAAAGCCCCGGGCUCAACCUGGGAACGGCAUCCGGAACUGUCAAGCUUGAGUGCAGGAGAGGAAGGUGGAAUUCCUGGUGUAGCGGUGAAAUGCGUAGAGAUCGGGAGGAAUACCAGUGGCGAAGGCGGCCUUCUGGACUGACACUGACACUGAGGUGCGAAAGCGUGGGUAGCAAACAGGAUUAGAUACCCUGGUAGUC
rnacentral:rRNA from 1 species